rnacentral:lncRNA from 10 species
AGAAAACGCAAGCUCAGAGAAGAUAAAAUUAUUCCCAGAGCCACAAAGUUACUAAGUAGUGCAACUAGUAUUUGAACGAUAGUCAUCUUAGGAAAUAUAAAACCUGUAUGAAAAGAACUUAUGAAAGACGUUUGUCUUCUUGGCAAGGAAUGAUCAGUGAACAAGACAUGAAGCUCUACUUCCUGGGCAGCCAGCUUUGCUUUCAGAUCAUCCACCUGCAUUGGAGAAGCACGGGACUUAUCAGGAGUUGUGACUGGAGGGACUGUGGGCACUGGACUAGUCACUGGCCUGUUGGGCAUGACCUGAGGACCCAACUCUGUGGAGCAGAAUAGAUGACAGCUCCUGAUACAAAGGUA